rnacentral:rRNA from 1 species
UACGUAGGGGGCAAGCGUUGUCCGGAUUUAUUGGGCGUAAAGAGCGUGUAGGCGGCCAUACAGGUCCGUUGUGAAAACUGGAGGCUUAACCUCCAGACGUCGAUGGAAACCGUAUGGCUAGAGUCCGGAAGAGGAGAGUGGAAUUCCUGGUGUAGCGGUGAAAUGCGCAGAUAUCAGGAGGAACACCGGUGGCGAAGGCGGUUCUCUGGGCCUUACCUGACGCUGAGGAGCGAAAGCGUGGGGAGCGAACAGG